GACGAACGCUGGCGGCGUGCUUAACACAUGCAAGUCGAGCGAGUUGAUUCCCUUCGGGGAUGAAGCUAGCGGCGGACGGGUGAGUAACACGUGGGCAACCUGCCUUAUAGAGGGGGAUAGCCUUCCGAAAGGAAGAUUAAUACCGCAUAACAUCAGAUUAUCGCAGGUUAGACGGAUUCAAGGAGCAAUCCGCUAUAAGAUGGGCCCGAGUAGCAUUAGCUAGUUGUUGAGGUAACGGCUCACCAAGGCGACGAUGCGUAGCCGACCUGAGAGGGUGAUCGGCCACAUUUGGACUGAGACACGGCCCAGACUCCUACGGGAGGCAGCAGUGGGGAAUAUUGCACAAUGGGGGAAACCCUGAUGCAGCAACGCCGAGUGAGUGAUGAAGGCCUUCGGGUUGUAAAGCUCUUUGAUCAGGGACGAUAAUGACGGUACCUGAAGAACAAGCCACGGCUAACUACGUGCCAGCCGCCGCGGUAAUAC
rnacentral:rRNA from 1 species